AUCCGGCUGACGAGUUCCAAACAGGACGAAAUGCGCAUCCUGGAU
rnacentral:hammerhead_ribozyme from 1 species